GGGCCCGCACAAGCGGUGGAGUAUGUGGUUUAAUUCGACGCAACGCGAAGAACCUUACCAGGGCUUGACAUUGAGUGAAAUGUUAAGAGAUUAGCACCUCCCUUCGGGGACACGAAAACAGGUGGUGCAUGGCUGUCGUCAGCUCGUGUCGUGAGAUGUUGGGUUAAGUCCCGCAACGAGCGCAACCCUUAUCCUAUGUUGCCAGCGAGUAAUGUCGGGAACUCAUGGGAGACUGCCGCAGACAAUGCGGAGGAAGGCGGGGAUGACGUCAAGUCAUCAUGCCCCUUAUGUCCUGGGCUACACACGUACUACAAUGGGUCAGAAUAGAGGGAAGCGAGGCCGCGAGGCGGAGCGAACCCCAGAAAAUGGCUCUCAGUUCGGAUCGUAGGCUGCAACUCGCCUACGUGAAGUCGGAAUCGCUAGUAAUCGCAGGUCAGCAUACUGCGGUGAAUACGUUCCCGGGCCUUGUACACACCGCCCGUCACACCACGAGAGUUGACAACACCCGAAGCCGGUGAGGUAACCGCAAGGAGCCAGCCGUCGAAGGUGGGGUCAGUGAUUGGGGUGAAGUCGUAACAAGGUAGCCGUAUCGGAAGGUGCGGCU
rnacentral:rRNA from 1 species